GUUUGAAGAAAAGAAACAAGCCACACGGACCACCACCACGUAGCACCUCACAAAUCCCAACACCACUCGAC